GCGCCGAUGGUCUAGUGGCUAUGAUUCAACCCUUCCAAGGUUGAGAGGGGGGUUCGAUUCCCUCUCGGCGCA
rnacentral:tRNA from 1 species